rnacentral:rRNA from 1 species
CGCCCAAUAGCUAGCCCAACCCCCAAAAAUAAAUAAAUCAUCAUUAAUAACCCCACAGACACUAAAGAAACAAAACAAACCAUUUUUCCCUCUGAGUAUGGGAGACAGAAAAGAGCUUCGGCGCAAUAAAGAAAGUACCGCAAGGGAAAGCUGAAAGAGAAAUGAAACAACCCAAUUUAAGCCUAUAAAAGCAGAGGUUAAUCCUCGUACCUUUUGCAUCAUGGUUUAGCUAGCAAAAUUUAAGCAAAGCGCACUUCAGUUUAAAACCCCGAAACCAAGUGAGCUACUCCAAGACAGCCUAUAAUAAGGGCACACCCUUCUCUGUGGCAACAGAGUGGGAAGAUCUUCGAGUAGAGGUGACAGACCUAACGAACUUGGUUAUAGCUGGUUGCUUGGAAAGUGGAUAAAAGUUCAGCCUUCUUGAUUCUCCUCUCACCUCGGCACUUGACCUCCGAAUUUGACAACUGAGAAGCCAGAAGAGUUAGUCAAGGGGGGUACAGCCCCUUUGAAAAAGGAUACAACCUUCCCAGGAGGAUAAAGAUCACAACAAACAAGGGCCAUUGUUUAGGUGGGCUUAAGAGCAGCCAUCCUCUUGAAAAGCGUUAUAGCUUAAAUAUUCAACCCGCCCUUAGAUUCCGACAAUUCAGUCUUAACCCCUAACUCUACCAAGCCAUCCCAUGCCUACAUGGGAGUGAUCCUGCUAAUAUGAGUAAUAAGAGGGCCUCGGCCCUCUCCCAGCACAAGUGUAUGUCGGAACGGACCUCCCGCCGAAAUUUAACGACCCCAACAGAAGAGGGCACUGGGCACUCCACAUUAAAGCCAGAAAACCCCCCAGGAACAUAUCGUUAACCCCACACUGGUGUGCUUUAAGGGAAAGGCUAAAAGAGAAAGAAGGAACUCGGCAAACACCUUAAGCCUCGCCUGUUUACCAAAAACACCGCCUCUUGCAAAAUCAACAAAUAAGAGGUCACGCCUGCCCAGUGACUUUAAGUUCAACGGCCGCGGUAUUUUGACCGUGCAAAGGUAGCGCAAUCACUUGUCUUUUAAAUGGAGACCUGUAUGAAUGGCAUCACGAGGGCUUGACUGUCUCCUUUCUUCAGCCAAUGAAAUUGAUCUCCCCGUGCAGAAGCGGGGAUUAUCUCAUAAGACGAGAAGACCCUAUGGAGCUUUAGACACUAAGACAGCCUAUGUCAAACAUCCCCAGCAAGGGCCUGAACUAAAUAGUCCCUGUCCUAAUGUCUUCGGUUGGGGCGACCCUGGGGAAAUAACCAACCCCCAUGCGGAGUGAAAACAUGUUUUCAAAGCCAAGAGCCACCGCUCUAAGAAACAGAAUUUCUGACCAGCUAGAUCCGGCAAAGCCGAUCAACGGACCGAGUUACCCUAGGGAUAACAGCGCAAUCCCCUUACAGAGCCCUUAUCGACAAGGGGGUUUACGACCUCGAUGUUGGAUCAGGACAUCCUAAUGGUGCAGCCGCUAUUAAGGGUUCGUUUGUUCAACGAUUAAAGUCCUACGUGAUCUGAGUUCAGACCGGAGUAAUCCAGGUCAGUUUCUAUCUAUGAAACGACCUUUUCUAGUACGAAAGGACCGAAAAGGAAAGGCCAAUGUUUUAGACACGCCUUACCCUCAUCUAACGAAACCAACUAAAACAGGUAAAAGGGCGUGCCCAAGGCAGCCUGAGAAAAUGGCAU